UGAGGAUGAGGAACAUGGUGUUGCAGUUCAAACCAGUUCCAGCCAAAAUGGACUCUAGUCACAAACAAAUAGUAAUAACAAUCCAAACUUGUGGCUGAAUAGAGUUCUGAAGUUUUGAGAAAGAGGUAUGAUACACAACACAAGUAUAAGGAUAUAGUCAAUAAUAACUCUGGGAGUAAGAACACAUUAUGAACAGUGAAGACAUUGACAAACCUCCGGGACCUUUGAUUUGUGCUAUAAAGUAUACUAUGAUCAGCCCUGAUUAACACACAAGAGAAAACUAGAAGAUAGGUAACCAAGAUCAAUAAAACUAUUUUUAUGAGCAUAUAUGUUAUUUUACUUAAAUAAAUUUUAAGAUGGCAAA
rnacentral:lncRNA from 10 species